GACAGAGGCCUCAAGCGUUAGGCGGAAUCACUGGGCUUAAAGCGUGUGUAGGCGGAUCGUUAAGUGUCUUGUGAAAUCCCACGGCUCACCCGUGGAACGGCUGGGCAUACUGGCGAUCUUGGGCCAACUAGGGGCAACUGGAACAAGCGGUGGAGCGGUGAAAUGCGUAGAUAUCGCUUGGAACGCCGAAGGUGAAAACAGAUUGCUGGGGUUGUGCCGACGCUGAGACACGAAAGCCAGGGGAGCAAACGGG
rnacentral:rRNA from 1 species